AGAGUUUGAUCCUGGCUCAGGAUGAACGCUAGCUACAGGCUUAACACAUGCAAGUCGAGGGGCAUCAGGAAGAAAGCUUGCUUUCUUUGCUGGCGACCGGCGCACGGGUGAGUAACACGUAUCCAACCUGCCCUUUACUCGGGGAUAGCCUUUCGAAAGAAAGAUUAAUACCCGAUAGCAUAAUGAUUCCGCAUGGUUUCAUUAUUAAAGGAUUCCGGUAAAGGAUGGGGAUGCGUUCCAUUAGGUUGUUGGUGAGGUAACGGCCCACCAAGCCUUCGAUGGAUAGGGGUUCUGAGAGGAAGGUCCCCCACAUUGGAACUGAGACACGGUCCAAACUCCUACGGGAGGCAGCAGUGAGGAAUAUUGGUCAAUGGGCGCUAGCCUGAACCAGCCAAGUAGCGUGAAGGAUGAAGGCUCUAUGGGUCGUAAACUUCUUUUAUAUAAGAAUAAAGUGCAGUAUGUAUACUGUUUUGUAUGUAUUAUAUGAAUAAGGAUCGGCUAACUCCGUGCCAGCAGCCGCGGUAAUACGGAGGAUCCGAGCGUUAUCCGGAUUUAUUGGGUUUAAAGGGAGCGUAGGUGGACUGGUAAGUCAGUUGUGAAAGUUUGCGGCUCAACCGUAAAAUUGCAGUUGAUACUGUCAGUCUUGAGUACAGUAGAGGUGGGCGGAAUUCGUGGUGUAGCGGUGAAAUGCUUAGAUAUCACGAAGAACUCCGAUUGCGAAGGCAGCUCACUGGACUGCAACUGACACUGAUGCUCGAAAGUGUGGGUAUCAAACAGGAUUAGAUACCCUGGUAGUCCACACAGUAAACGAUGAAUACUCGCUGUUUGCGAUAUACAGUAAGCGGCCAAGCGAAAGCAUUAAGUAUUCCACCUGGGGAGUACGCCGGCAACGGUGAAACUCAAAGGAAUUGACGGGGGCCCGCACAAGCGGAGGAACAUGUGGUUUAAUUCGAUGAUACGCGAGGAACCUUACCCGGGCUUAAAUUGCAGUGGAAUGAUGUGGAAACAUGUCAGUGAGCAAUCACCGCUGUGAAGGUGCUGCAUGGUUGUCGUCAGCUCGUGCCGUGAGGUGUCGGCUUAAGUGCCAUAACGAGCGCAACCCUUAUCUUUAGUUACUAACAGGUUAUGCUGAGGACUCUAGAGAGACUGCCGUCGUAAGAUGUGAGGAAGGUGGGGAUGACGUCAAAUCAGCACGGCCCUUACGUCCGGGGCUACACACGUGUUACAAUGGGGGGUACAGAAGGCAGCUAGCGGGUGACCGUAUGCUAAUCCCAAAAUCCUCUCUCAGUUCGGAUCGAAGUCUGCAACCCGACUUCGUGAAGCUGGAUUCGCUAGUAAUCGCGCAUCAGCCACGGCGCGGUGAAUACGUUCCCGGGCCUUGUACACACCGCCCGUCAAGCCAUGGGAGCCGGGGGUACCUGAAGUGCGUAACCGCGAGGAGCGCCCUAGGGUAAAACUGGUGACUGGGGCUAAGUCGUAACAAGGUAGCCGUACCGGAAGGUGCGGCUG
rnacentral:rRNA from 1 species